rnacentral:rRNA from 1 species
GACGAACGCUGGCGGCGUGCUUAACACAUGCAAGUCGAACGGAAAGGCCCUGCUUUUGUGGGGUGCUCGAGUGGCGAACGGGUGAGUAACACGUGAGUAACCUGCCCUUGACUUUGGGAUAACUUCAGGAAACUGGGGCUAAUACCGGAUAGGAGCUCCUGCUGCAUGGUGGGGGUUGGAAAGUUUCGGCGGUUGGGGAUGGACUCGCGGCUUAUCAGCUUGUUGGUGGGGUAGUGGCUUACCAAGGCUUUGACGGGUGGCCGGCCUGGGAGGGUGACCGGCCACAUUGGGACUGAGGUACGGCCCAGACUCCUACGGGAGGCAGCAGUGGGGAAUAUUGCACAAUGGGCGGAAGCCUGAUGCAGCAACGCCGCGUGCGGGAUGACGGCCUUCGGGUUGUAAACCGCUUUCGCCUGUGACGAAGCGUGAGUGACGGUAAUGGGUAAAGAAGCACCGGCUAACUACGUG